CACGAACCGUACGAACGUUAUUCGGAAUUACUGGGCUUAAAGGGUUUGUAGGCGGCCUUGUAAGUCAGGUGUGAAAUCCCUCGGCUCAACCGAGGAAUAGCGCUUGAUACUGCAAGGCUUGAGGGAGACAGGGGUAAGCGGAACUGAUGGUGGAGCGGUGAAAUGCGUUGAUAUCAUCAGGAACACCGGUGGCGAAGCGGCUUACUGGGUCUCUUCUGACGCUGAGGAACGAAAGCUAGGGGAGCGAACGGG
rnacentral:rRNA from 1 species